rnacentral:rRNA from 1 species
CCUACGGGAGGCAGCAGUGGGGAAUUUUGCGCAAUGCUCGUAAGAGUGACGCAGCGACGCCGCGUGAAUGACGAAGGCCUUCGGGUCGUAAAGUUCUUUUGACCGGGAAGAAAAUGCCUAAAAGUAACUGUGUAUGUAUUGACGGUACCUGUAUAAGCAGCCCCGGCUAACUCCGUGCCAGCAGCCGCGGUAAUACGGAGGGGGCGAGCGUUGUUCGGAGUGACUGGGCGUAAAGAGCACGUAGGCGGUGUUGUAAGUCAUUAGUCAAAGACUAGAGCUCAACUUUAGUAAGGCUAGUGAUACUAUAAUACGAGAGUAUCAGAGAGGAUUGCAGAAUUCCUGGUGUAGCGGUGAAAUGCGUAGAUAUCAGGAGGAAUACCGUUAGCGAAGGCGGCAAUCUGGCUGGCAACUGACGCUGAGGUGCGAAAGCGUGGGUAGCAAACAGGAUUAGAUACCCGUGUAGUC